GAUGAAGAACGUAGCGAAAUGCGAUAAGUAAUGUGAAUUGCAGAAUUCAGUGAAUCAUCGAAUCUUUGAACGCACAUUGCGCCCCCUGGUAUUCCGGGGGGCAUGCCUGUUCGAGCGUCAUUUCACCACUCAAGCCUCGCUUGGUAUUGGGCAACGCGGUCCGCCGCGUGCCUCAAAUCGACCGGCUGGGUCUUCUGUCCCCUAAGCGUUGUGGAAACUAUUCGCUAAAGGGUGUUCGGGAGGCUACGCCGUAAAACAACCCCAUUUCUAAGGUUGACCUCUGAUCAGGUAGGGAUACCCGCUGAACUUAAGCAUAUCAAUAAGCGGAGGA
rnacentral:misc_RNA from 1 species